UACGUAGGGGGCAAGCGUUGUCCGGAAUUACUGGGCGUAAAGCGCGUGUAGGCGGACUGGUGUGUCGGAUGUGAAAUCCCCAGGCUCAACCUGGGAACUGCAUUCGAAACUGCCAGCCUUGAGUGGUGGAGAGGGAAGUGGAAUUCCUGGUGUAGAGGUGAAAUUCGUAGAUAUCAGGAGGAACACCAGUGGCGAAGGCGGCUUCCUGGACACCAACUGACGCUGAGACGCGAAAGCGUGGGGAGCAAACAGG
rnacentral:rRNA from 1 species